UACAGAGGGUGCAAGCGUUAAUCGGAAUUACUGGGCGUAAAGCGUGCGUAGACGGUUAUGUAAGUCGGGUGUGAAAGCCCCGGGCUCAACCUGGGAAUUGCAUUCGAGACUGUGUAGCUAGGGUACGGAAGAGGGAAGCGGAAUUCAGGUGUAGCGGUGAAAUGCGUAGAUAUCUGAAGGAACACCAGUGGCGAAAGCGGCUUCCUGGUCCAGUACCGACGUUCAGGCACGAAAGCGUGGGGAGCAAACAGGAUAGAAACCCU
rnacentral:rRNA from 1 species